ACCUCGUUAGCUUAGUUGGUAGAGCAACAGGACGUAAACCUGAGAGACCUGGGUUCGUAUCCCAGCCGAGGUU